UGGCUUAGAUGGUAAAGCGUCUGCCUACAAUGCGGGAGACCCAGGUUCGAUCCCUGG
rnacentral:tRNA from 1 species